AUGCUGGCUUCGAUAGCACCUAUACUAAAAUUACAAAUACAGAGAAGAAAGACUAGCAUGGCCCCUGUGCAAGGAUAAUAUAUUAAUUUGUGAAGCCUUCCAUAUUUUU